AGUGAACGCUGGCGGUAGGCCUAACACAUGCAAGUCGAACGGCAGCACAGUAAGAGCUUGCUCUUACGGGUGGCGAGUGGCGGACGGGUGAGGAAUACAUCGGAAUCUACUUUUUCGUGGGGGAUAACGUAGGGAAACUUACGCUAAUACCGCAUACGACCUACGGGUGAAAGCAGGGGAUCUUCGGACCUUGCGCGAUUGAAUGAGCCGAUGUCGGAUUAGCUAGUUGGCGGGGUAAAGGCCCACCAAGGCGACGAUCCGUAGCUGGUCUGAGAGGAUGAUCAGCCACACUGGAACUGAGACACGGUCCAGACUCCUACGGGAGGCAGCAGUGGGGAAUAUUGGACAAUGGGCGCAAGCCUGAUCCGGCCAUACCGCGUGGGUGAAGAAGGCCUUCGGGUUGUAAAGCCCUUUUGUUGGGAAAGAAGAGCAGCAGGUUAAUACCCCGCUGUUCUGACGGUACCCAAAGAAUAAGCACCGGCUAACUUCGU
rnacentral:rRNA from 1 species